rnacentral:rRNA from 1 species
UACAGAGGGUGCGAGCGUUGUCCGGAAUUAUUGGGCGUAAAGAGCUCGUAGGCGGCUUGUCACGUCGGGUGUGAAAUCCCGAGGCUCAACCUCGGGUCUGCAGUCGAUACGAGCAAACUAGAGUGUUGCAGGGGAGACUGGAAUUCCGGGUGGAGCGGUGAAAUGCGUAGAGAUCCGGAGGAACACCGACGGCGUAGGCAGCGCCCUAGACGAGACCUGACGCUCAGGCACGAAAGCGCGGGGAGCGAACAGG